rnacentral:rRNA from 1 species
UACAGAGGUGGCAAGCGUUGUUCGGAAUUACUGGGCGUAAAGGGCGCGUAGGCGGCCAUCUAAGUCAGACGUGAAAUCCCCCGGCUUAACCUGGGAACUGCGUCUGAUACUGGACGGCUCGAGUUUGGGAGAGGGAUGCAGAAUUCCAGGUGUAGCGGUGAAAUGCUGCAGAUAUCAGGAGGAACACCGGUGGCGAAGGCGGGUCUCUGGGCCGAAUGACUGACGCUGAGGAGCGAAA